rnacentral:rRNA from 1 species
CCUACGGGUGGCAGCAGUGAGGAAUAUUGGUCAAUGGGCGGAAGCCUGAACCAGCCAAGUCGCGUGAGGGAAGACGGUACUGAGUGUUGUAAACCUCUUUUGUAAGAGGAUAAAGGCGGCCACGUGUGGCCGUCAGAGGGUACCUGGCGAAAAAGCAUCGGCUAACUCCGUGCCAGCAGCCGCGGUAAUACGGAGGAUCCGAGCGUUAUCCGGAUUUAUUGGGUGAAAAGGGAGCGUAGGCGGUCGAUAAAGUAGGAUGUAAAAUCUACCGGCUUAACUGGGAGCUGCGUUCAAAACUUCUUGUCUUGAGUGAAGUUGAGGCAGGCGGAAUUCCUAGUGUAGCGGUGAAAUGCGUAGAGAUUAGGAAGAACACCAGUGGCGAAGGCAGCCUGCUAGGCUAUAACUGACGUUGAGGCUCGAAAGCGUGGGGAGCAAACAGGAUUAGAUACCCGAGUAGUC